GGUGCUGUGGCUUAGUUGGUUAAAAAAGUGCCUGUCUAGUAAACAGGAGAUCCUGAGUUCAAAUCUCAGCAGUACCU